rnacentral:rRNA from 1 species
UGGGGAAUAUUGGACAAUGGGCGGAAGCCUGAUCCAGCCAUGCCGCGUGUGUGAAGAAGGCCUUUUGGUUGUAAAGCACUUUAAGCGAGGAGGAGGCUACUUGGAUUAAUACUCUAGGAUAGUGGACGUUACUCGCAGAAUAAGCACCGGCUAACUCUGUGCCAGUAGCCGCGGUAAUACAGAGGGUGCGAGCGUUAAUCGGAUUUACUGGGCGUAAAGCGUGCGUAGGCGGCUUCUUAAGUCGGAUGUGAAAUCCCUGAGCUUAACUUAGGAAUUGCAUUCGAUACUGGGAAGCUAGAGUAUGGGAGAGGAUGGUAGAAUUCCAGGUGUAGCGGUGAAAUGCGUAGAGAUCUGGAGGAAUACCGAUGGCGAAGGCAGCCAUCUGGCCUAAUACUGACGCUGAGGUACGAAAGCAUGGGGAGCAAACAGG